rnacentral:rRNA from 1 species
AUAACCUACCUAUAAGACUGGGAUAACUUCGGGAAACCGGAGCUAAUACCGGAUAAUAUAUUGAACCGCAUGGUUCAAUAGUGAAAGACGGUUUUGCUGUCACUUAUAGAUGGAUCCGCGCUGCAUUAGCUAGUUGGUAAGGUAACGGCUUACCAAGGCAACGAUGCGUAGCCGACCUGAGAGGGUGAUCGGCCACACUGGGAACUGAGACACGGUCCAGACUCCUACGGGAGGCAGCAGCA